UUACGACCAGGGCUACACACGUGCUACAAUGGCGCAUACAAAGAGAAGCGACCUCGCGAGAGCAAGCGGACCUCAUAAAGUGCGUCGUAGUCCGGAUUGGAGUCUGCAACUCGACUCCAUGAAGUCGGAAUCGCUAGUAAUCGUGGAUCAGAAUGCCACGGUGAAUACGUUCCCGGGCCUUGUACACACCGCCCGUCACACCAUGGGAGUGGGUUGCAAAAGAAGUAGGUAGCUUAACCUUCGGGAGGGCGCUUACCACUUUGUGAUUCAUGACUGGGGUGAAGUCGUAACAAGGUAACCGUAGGGGAACCUGCGGUUGGAUCACCUCCUU
rnacentral:rRNA from 2 species